rnacentral:rRNA from 1 species
UUACGGUCAAAUCACGCUGAAACCACCGGUUCUCGUUCGAUCACCGAAGUUAAGCAUCGUAGAGCCAGGUCAGUACUUAGAUGGGGGACCGCUUGGGAACACCUGGUACUGUAAG